UGUUUGGUUACCCAGUGGGAAAGGGGAAACGCACGUCUGUCUUCCUCAAAAGCGCUUUGACGUUGUUUGGCUCUCCUUCACUCUUCCUCCGUCGCCGCAAGUUUGCAUCAUCAUAAUCGAUUUUCAAUGAAGCUGCAAUUCCUAGCUUCUAAAAAUCAAUUUUCACAACCGUAGAUCAAAAUCAAUCGGUUAACCUACCUCAAAACUUCUUUAUAUAUGUUGCCUCAUCUCUCGCCCUUUUCAUUCUCUCAAACACGCAAGAAAAGGAAAUUAAGCAAAGUUCCAAAUAGCAGCACUGUUGGAUAGCUCAAGCUUCAGGUGCUGUUCCUGGCCUGCUAACCUGCUACGGCUGGGGGUAGUUUUUUGGCCAAGGGUCUGGUUGGUUUUUGUUGUCUCUGUAGUUGCUUUCUAGACUUUCUAGGCUUUUUUUAUGUUAACUGGACUGCCUCUUCCUUCUGGUGUUUCGGUUUGCAGACAUCAGUUGGGCAAACAUGUUUAAGGUGCACUCAAGUUUCAAUAUUUCAUCGUCUUCAAUAAUGAUGUAUUCAAUUAUUAUCACUCAAGUUUAAGGUGCCCAAUAGAAAGAACUUUUGGUGUAUGGAAGAAUAGAUUUGCAAUUCUACGACGCAUGCCUAAAUUCACAAUUAUGACACAGGUUCAAGUGGUUAUUGCAACAAUGGACACAACUUUAUUAGAAGGAAUGCUGAUAUGGAUGUUGAUUUCAGUCGGUAUGAGGAUGAAGACAUAACCCUUGAUCUCGAUGAUUAUCGUAGACCAGUUAAUUUGGAUUUAUCUCAAAAUUUAAAUAUAGCUUCUUCAUCUAAGAUGAAUCAUGUUCGAGACUCGGUUCGAGAUCAAAUUAUAGAGUUCAGGAAAAAUAAUUAGUACUGUAUUAAUGUUUCAAACUUGUACUA